rnacentral:rRNA from 1 species
ACAGAGGUGGCAAGCGUUGUUCGGAAUUACUGGGUGUAAAGGGCGCGUAGGCGGCCUUCUAAGUCAGACGUGAAAUCCCCAGGCUUAACUUGGGAACUGCGUCUGAUACUGGGAGGCUUGAGUGCGGGAGAGGGAUGUGGAAUUCCAGGUGUAGCGGUGAAAUGCGUAGAGAUCGGGAGGAAGGCCGGUGGCGAAGGCGGCGCUCUGGAACGUUUCUGACGCUGAGGCUCGAAAGCGUGGGGAGCAAACAGGA